rnacentral:rRNA from 1 species
UACGUAGGGGGCGAGCGUUGUCCGGAUUUAUUGGGCGUAAAGCGCAUGCAGGCGGUCCUGUAAGUUUGGAGUGACAGUUUCCGGCUCAACCGGGAAAGUGCUUUGAAAACUGCGGGACUUGAGGGCUUCAGAGGGACACGGAAUUCCGGGUGGAGUGGUGAAAUGCGUAGAUAUCUGGAGGAACACCGGUGGCGAAGGCGGCAUCCUGGACCAAUUCUGACACUGAGGAGCGAAAGCCAGGGGAGCAAACGGG